CCUACGGGUGGCAGCAGUGAGGAAUAUUGGUCAAUGGACGAGAGUCUGAACCAGCCAAGUAGCGUGAAGGAUGACUGCCCUAUGGGUUGUAAACUUCUUUUAUAUGGGAAUAAAACAGGGUAUGUAUAUCCUCCUGCCUGUACCAUACGAAUAAGGAUCGGCUAACUCCGUGCCAGCAGCCGCGGUAAUACGGAGGAUCCGAGCGUUAUCCGGAUUUAUUGGGUUUAAAGGGUGCGUAGGUGGAUUGUUAAGUCAGUUGUGAAAUUUUGCGGCUCAACCGUAGAAAUGCAGUUGAAACUGGCAGUCUUGAGUACAGUAGAGGUAGGCGGAAUGCGUGGUGUAGCGGUGAAAUGCUUAGAUAUCACGAAGAACUCCGAUUGCGAAGGCAGCUCACUGGACUACAACUGACGCUGAUGCUCGAAAGUGUGGGUAUCAAACAGGAUUAGAUACCCCAGUAGUC
rnacentral:rRNA from 1 species